AGUCGUACGCGUCUCCGUUAAUGAUUUUAGGUGCUUGCACUUGAAAGAUUUAACAUUGAGACGAGUGGCGAACUGGUGAGUAACACGUGGGUAACCUGCCCUUGAAGUAGGGGAUAACACUUGGAAACAGGUGCUAAUACCGUAUAACAACCAAAACCACCUGGUUUUGGUUUAAAAGACGGCUUCGGCUGUCACUUUAGGAUGGACCCGCGGCGUAUUAGCUUGUUGGUAAGGUAACGGCCUACCAAGGCGAUGAUACGUAGCCGACCUGAGAGGGUAAUCGGCCACAUUGGGACUGAGACACGGCCCAAACUCCUACGGGAGGCAGCAGUAGGGAAUCUUCCACAAUGGACGAAAGUCUGAUGGAGCAACGCCGCGUGAGUGAUGAAGGGUUUCGGCUCGUAAAACUCUGUUGUUGGAGAAGAACAGGUGUCAGAGUAACUGUUGACAUCUUGACGGUAUCCAACCAGAAAGCCACGGCUAACUACGUGCCAGCAGCCGCGGUAAUACGUAGGUGGCAAGCGUUGUCCGGAUUUAUUGGGCGUAAAGCGAGCGCAGGCGGUUUUUUAGGUCUGAUGUGAAAGCCUUCGGCUUAACCGGAGAAGUGCAUCGGAAACCGGGAGACUUGAGUGCAGAAGAGGACAGUGGAACUCCAUGUGUAGCGGUGAAAUGCGUAGAUAUAUGGAAGAACACCAUUGGCGAAGGCGGCUGUCUGGUCUGUAACUGACGCUGAGGCUCGAAAGCAUGGGUAGCGAACAGGAUUAGAUACCCUGGUAGUCCAUGCCGUAAACGAUGAGUGCUAAGUGUU
rnacentral:rRNA from 2 species